rnacentral:misc_RNA from 1 species
UUCGUGGCCGGCCGCACGCUGAUGAAGCUGGACGGCACGGGAGAGCCCACGGGUGAACCGCUCACGAUCGAGCGCGCCCGGGCCUACCACCGCGAAUGGCUCGUGAAGUUCGUGG